rnacentral:tRNA from 1 species
ACGCCUACAGCUCAACCGGAUUGAGCAUUGGAUUACGGUUCCAAGGGUUGGGGGUUCAACCCCUUGCUGGGGUA